rnacentral:rRNA from 1 species
GAUGAACGCUGGCGGUAUGCUUAACACAUGCAAGUCGAACGAGGUGCUUCGGCACCUAGUGGCGGACGGGUGAGUAACGCGUGAGAAUCUGCCCUCAGGUCUGGGAUAACGACUGGAAACGGUCGCUAAUACCGGAUGUGCCGAGAGGUGAAAGGCUAGCUGCCUGGGGAUGAGCUCGCGUCCGAUUAGCUAGUUGGUGGGGUAAGAGCCCACCAAGGCAGUGAUCGGUAGCUGGUUUGAGAGGAUGAUCAGCCACACUGGGACUGAGACACGGCCCAGACUCCUACGGGAGGCAGCAGUGGGGAAUUUUCCGCAAUGGGCGCAAGCCUGACGGAGCAAUACCGCGUGCGGGAGGAAGGCUUUUGGGUCGUAAACCGCUUUUAUUGGGGAAGAAGAUCUGACGGUACCCAAUGAAUCAGCAUCGGCUAACUCCGUGCCAGCAGCCGCGGUAAUACGGAGGAUGCAAGCGUUAUCCGGAAUUAUUGGGCGUAAAGCGUCCGCAGGUGGCUUAUCAAGUCUGCUGUCAAAGCGUAGAGCUUAACUCUAUAUAGGCAGUGGAAACUGGUCGGCUAGAGUUCGGUAGGGGUAGCGGGAAUUCCCAGUGUAGCGGUGAAAUGCGUAGAUAUUGGGAAGAACACCAGCGGCGAAAGCGCGCUACUGGGCCGAGACUGACACUGAGGGACGAAAGCUAGGGGAGCGAAAGGGAUUAGAUACCCCUGUAGUCCUAGCUGUAAACGAUGGGUACUAGGUGUUGCGCGUAUCGACCCGUGCAGUGCCGUAGCUAACGCGUUAAGUACCCCGCCUGGGGAGUACGCACGCAAGUGUGAAACUCAAAGGAAUUGACGGGGGCCCGCACAAGCGGUGGAGUAUGUGGUUUAAUUCGAUGCAACGCGAAGAACCUUACCAGGGCUUGACAUCCCGCGAACCUUGAUGAAAGUCGAGGGUGCCUUCGGGAGCGCGGAGACAGGUGGUGCAUGGCUGUCGUCAGCUCGUGUCGUGAGAUGUUGGGUUAAGUCCCGCAACGAGCGCAACCCACGUCCUUAGUUGCCAGCAUUAAGUUGGGCACUCUGGGGAGACUGCCGGUGACAAACCGGAGGAAGGUGUGGAUGACGUCAAGUCAUCAUGCCCCUUACGUCCUGGGCUACACACGUACUACAAUGCUAUGGACAGAGAGUUGCGAGCCCGCGAGGGUGAGCCAAUCUCAUAAACCAUGGCUCAGUUCAGAUUGCAGGCUGCAACUCGCCUGCAUGAAGGCGGAAUCGCUAGUAAUCGCAGGUCAGCAUACUGCGGUGAAUACGUUCCCGGGCCUUGUACACACCGCCCGUCACACCAUGGGAGUUGGCCACGCCCCGAAGUCGUUACUCCAACCUUUUCGGAGGGGGGGGACGCCGAAGGCAGGGCUGAUGACUGGGGUGAA